ACAAACGGAGACACAUACACAGUAGGGCUGUCAAAACGAACUUCGCUAUUCGAAUAUAAUUCGAAUUUUUAGAAAAGGAGAACAUUCGAGUGCGGCAACUAACGUUCAAACUUUUUUUUAUUUAUUUUUUUUAGCAAAUUUUAUUGACAAGUCAAGAAUUACAUUUACACUUUUGCCUAGCAACGACGCAAAUUAUGCUGUAAGUCGUUAAAGUACCACUCAACUACGAGCAACAUGAGCGCACACCUCCAUUCAGUGCAUUACUCGGAGUACGCAGAACAGUUAGCGGCUGAGGAAGAGCCACGGUCAAAACAGCCAAGAAUAACAUCGUUUUUGCCUCCCUCCUCAUCUCGUUGUCUGCCAGCUGGGCGGCAAGAGACAAUAACGAAAAAGCUGACUGAGUUUAUCUGCAAAGAUAUGAGGCCAGUUAACAUCUCGCAGGGGGACGGGUUUAAGGAGUUAAUCCGCGAGAUUGAGCCACGGUACACGAUUCCCUCUCGUGGGACAAUUACCAACAGAAUUGUAAAGCUGUAUGAUGCCACUAAAGAAAACAUCCGUGAAAUUAUUAGUGGACAAUCGAUCGCCCUAACCACAGAUGGAUGGACAUCAGUGGCCACGGACUCAUAUGUGACGGUCACGGCACAUUUCAUAAACAAGGACUGAGAAAUGAAGGAUAUCGUUCGCCAAACGACAGAAUUAAAAAAAAGCUACACUGCCGAGAAUGUUGCCGAGCUUCUUCAUUAAACAUCAUUGCUUGAAUAUUUCUGGCGUUAUAUCUUACCUAUUUAUAUAAGUUUUGUAUUGAUUUGGUAAAACUUGUUGCAAAUGUUACACAACAGAUUUGGUUGACGCGCCCUCUAGUGGACGCGGGACGUAGGCCUAAUAAUAAGAUGGUAUCGGUGUAUAUAAUGAUAUAAUAAAAAAAAAAAAAGAAAAAACAUUAAAAUAUUCGAAUAUUAUUCGAAUAUUCAACAUAAGAAGCAUUAGAAAUUCGAAUAUGAUUUGAGGGGAGGA